rnacentral:rRNA from 1 species
UACGUAGGGGGCAAGCGUUGUUCGGAAUUACUGGGCGUAAAGGGCGCGUAGGCGGCACGGCAAGUCAGGAGUGAAAGCCCUGGGCUCAACCCGGGAACUGCUUUUGAAACUGCCGAGCUAGAGUGCGGAAGGGGCAACUGGAAUUCCCAGUGUAGCGGUGAAAUGCGUAGAUAUUGGGAAGAACACCUGAGGCGAAGGCGGGUUGCUGGGCCGACACUGACGCUGAGGCGCGAAAGCCAGGGGAGCGGAACGGG